GUGGAAGCUGAGCUGGCUCCUGUCCUCGCUGAGAACUUCUGCCAGCAUGCCUGCCAUGGGCUGGGGUGGGGGCAGCCAGCCUGACCAAAGCAUCCAUUCAUGUGGAUGGGGAGCGGCAAGAGGGGGACGGGUUCUGAAGCCGUGCCCCAGCUGCACUGCUUUGCAGGCCCUUGAGGAAGGGAUGGGCUUACGGGUGGGAAAGGUGGGGUUUUUCCCACUCUUGGAGAGGUUUCAUUCUCGACUGGAGUGGUCAGACCCUCCCCAGGCCCAUGAAACGGUGAUAACCUUUGGUGCUUUUUCUUGUUUGCAAGUCUUGUUUGGAACUGACUUUCAUGCAAUUGUUCUUUGUUUUUUCCAGGAAGAUUGCACCCGGUGCCUGGACCGGGUGGGGAAGCGCUGGCACUGUCCGUGGAGCCCAUCCAGUGCCGGCACUACCCCGGGGGGCCACGGUGUUCGGGGACAUCCCCUUCAGGAAGGACGAGGGCCUCGUGUGGGAUCAGCUCCUCUCCUGGCAGCAGGUCUGCAGAGGCUACCAGCACCUCAUGCCAUGGAAACGGCACCGCUCGGCUGCCAGUCUGGGAGGGCUGGAGGGCGGCGGGUGUUCACUUGCUGUCAAAAAUAAAUAUUUUUCUUGUCAUUAUCAUCA